UGAACAUUCAGUUACGACUGACGCUACACUUGCAGUUCUUUAUCCCUGCAUUUUAGCCGUGUGAUUCGAACGUGCCAAAUUUCAAACUGGGUAGUUAAUGGAUUCAUCGUGCUCUUAGCGACUUCUAUAGUCUGUGUUCAUUGCAAGAAAUCGUCUUCUAUGGAUACGCCUGACUUCGUUAUUUUGUUUUCUGUUUGGGCAGGAGAUGAUCUUCAAGCGGUGGUUCAAAAUUCAUGACUUCAUGUUCCUCCGGCGUAGCUCAUUCAGAAAAAACCACUGAAAAAGAUACUCAUACGAAAUAAGCUCUUACAAAUGAUGGCAUUUGUGUUACGCUGAUUGACCAGGCCACUCUGCAGCAACCCCAAGCUCCUGCUUCGCUCUAGGUGUUUAUUCAAAACUCUCAUAUUUGGAUCUUAUUAAUUCUGUUGUAUUUAAGAUUAAGGAAAUUUUGAAUUCUAGGUAACCAUUUAUGUCAUAAAAUUGAGAUGCUUAAAUGUCUAAGCUGUAUGUAAAGCUUCUUUUCGUGAUUAAAUCUGGUGUGUAGCAUGUGAGUUGUUAUCUUUAUCUUUGCUAGGCACCCAGAUGUUGAUUAUUACUUAAAGGCUUACUAAAGAUUUUAUUAAUGUCACUUUGCAUAAAGUUAGAGUUUAUACAUUGCUUCAGUCUGAAUUUUGCGAACCCUGUCAAAAUUUUUCACAUAGUACCUGUUUAACCUCAAGAAAGAUAGUUAGUAAUUUUGAAGUUAAAAUUAUCUAAAUUGGAUUAAUAUGAAGACAGAAUGAGUCUUUAUAUGUAUGCUUCAAAGGAAACUUUAUUCUAGAGGACUUUAGAUAAUCUUAGCUUGAUGAAUUGUUAUAACUUUUGUCUGUGACUUGCAUGUCUUUAUCGUGUGUAGAAUAAAUAUUAUUAUAAUAAUAUUAUUAAUCAAAAAGUCUGAUCAGUCACCAUGCCAACCAGCUUGCCGGCUAUAAGAGGACAAUUUAUUACUAAAUUUUAGUAACAACUAAUAUAAUUUGAUAAUUACAAUAAAUCAUAGUUAUUCAUCACGGAAAGUCAAAAUUGAUGAUUAAAAUAAUAUUAAUGAUUAACCGUCUGAUGAGUGGAAUAUAUGCGAGAUCUCAAGUGAGAUCAGAUCAUACGGUUGGUAGUGCAGCAUCAAUCAAUAUGUUGUCUUGGUUAAUGUACUUAGACAUCUAAUCUUUGCUUCCCAUGCAAAGUACCUCUUAAUCUAAUCAGUAGUAACAAAAACAGAAUCACAAAUCCUUAGAGACGUUGUUUAGGAACCUCCCAGAAUAGUAUAGUUACCAAAGUCAAUGGAUAGUGUCCUGUAUUUUCUGUUGCAGUCCGUGGCUAAGCUACUGUCGCUCUGAUUAUUUUUUAUAAUCAAAUCUGAAAUCAUACUAUAUAUAAUCUGAUUAUAAGAAAGGCUAUCAGUAUCUUUUAAAUAUAUACAGAAUAUCACAUAGCAAAACAUAGGAAAGGGAAAGAGGUGGCUAGAAAACUUUGAUGCCUAUUGAUCUCAGGUUUAACUUGGGCACCCCUGAUGAAAAUGAACCCAACAUCGAAGAUUUUAAUUUUAAAGGCUUGGCAAGUGCAAUAUGUUCCUAUAAACAAAUAGAAGUGCAAUGGGCCUAUACAAGCAUCUCAGUUUCCAAUCUAAUAUAUACAUUAUUCCCUGAGGUUCUUUUUUGUUAUUUGGAUCUUAUUAAUUCUGUUGUACUUAAGAUUAAGGAAAUUUUGAAUUCUAUAUUCUACAUUUAAUUAGAUGUCAAAGAGUUGGUGACAGCUUUUAAGAGAACAAAAGAUCUCUCUUUGCUAUUGCUUAUUUUACCAGAUUCUGGAAUACCUGCUAAAGUAAAUGCCUAUCUUUAUACAAUUAAACAUACCUCUGCUAUGGUGAAUGCGGGUGAUGUUUAGGCUAGGGACAAGUUGGAACGUGUUCUCCAGUGCCUUGAUAAGGGCAGAUGUGACGCUCUCCAGGACUGCAUCGUUCUUUUGCCAUAUUCAGAUGUUACUCAGCUACACACCCCAUCAACAUCUACUUAUUUGUCGCACCUCUCUCCACAUUAUGCAUCAUUAAGCUUAUCAGGUCAAGUUAACAAACACCCAAUGUCUCCACUUUUUACCUCUCCUUCUGCGAGGAGUUUAUAGCAUAUAAAUUUAACAGGUAUGGUCAAAUAAACAUUAGGUUUUAAAUAUAAGCUAUAUAUUUAAGACAAAUAUUAUGGAAUCUUUAAUGUUAUAAAUUUAAUUGCAUUCAGCAUAUGAUCUUUUUAAUAUAUAAAAAUAUUGGCGGCUCAUAUUUGUUGAUCUUUUGUUAAUAAACUGCAUCGUAAACUUUUUACUUAUAUCUGCUAAACCACAGUUCCUUUAUUCAUUUUUCUGUUUCAUUAAUUUGUUGUAUCUGUUGAAUUUUAAGUUUAAAAUUUCUUGGUGAUUGAAAUGAGUCAGACCAAUACAGUAAUUUUUAGCAAUAUGUUCAAUUGAUUGAUGACUGAUUUUAUUUAUAGAUAUAUUGAUAUAUUUAUUCUAUCUUCGUGUGUGCGAAUCCUUCAAACUCCUUUGACCUGUCUGUUUAGUUGCAGUAUCUUGGAUGGUUUCACAAGUGAACUGAUAUGUUUGCCAUGAUAUUAUUUUUAUAUAAGAAAUCAGGAUUUGAAAAAUCUUCCCUAUGAACACUUAAAGGUUUCAUAGUUGUUGAUGCACGGGAAGAUGAAUGCUACUCAUUCCUGAUGAUAGGCUCAGAGCAUCUGGUCUCACCUUUGUCAAGCUCAUCAUCAAGAGAGAACUCAUUGUGUGGACCAAAAGAUUCAAGAAUUCUUGAAGAGGGAGUCGAAGUUUUUUUUCCCACAAAACGUAGGUUCGAUCCUUAACACACUUCAAAUGCCACUGAUAAGAUUGAUGCACAAAUAGAAAGGGUGGCAUAUGAUAAUAUUACGGUCAUUAUUCCCCAUUAAGAACAACUUGGUAUUUCAAGACCAGGUUACUAUAUGAAAUAUGAUACCACAGAUUAUACAUUUUUUUUGUAUCCUUUUGUUCCUAUUAUUGAUUUUAGUGCAUUUCCAUUUUUACUUAUAUGAUUACACAGUUUGGUUUCCUGCACAAGCAUGGAACUUUGGUAAUGUUUUGAUUGUUGUUUUCAUUGAUCAAAAUUAUGUUUUUAUAUUCUGCACACAUGUUUACUUUUCUCUCGACAGGUAGUGGUGGUAAAAACUUAUUGGAGUCCUUUGAUGCUGAACACGAUAAUACUUUGUCCAAAAAAGAUCUUGGAGGCAUGUUAUAAGCUUCACAUCUAUUUAGUUUAUUCUACUUAAUUAGAUGCAUUUUAUAACUUACAGUACACAUAUCAUCCAAGGGUUGACUAAAAGCCUUUCUGUUGCGGUCAUACAGAAGCCAUAGAGCUGGAGAAGAUUCGAUUAACAGCUAAGCUGAUCAUCUCAAGUUCUAUUUGAAACUAAGUCUCACCUCCAACAACAUUUCCGUCUUUUAACCUUUUUACAGCUACAAUUUUUCCAUCUUGCAGGUUCCCUUUGUAGACUAUUCCGAAACCACCUUAAACAACAAUGUUCUUGCUGCUGAAGUUGUGGGUGGCAACAUGAAGUUCUCUAAACUGAAACCUUCUCAGGUCUCCAAGCGAUUCUUCUUGACGAUAUUGUCCUGAAAUUUUAAACAGAAAAUAGUUCUAUAAAAGAAUUACACUUCAAAAUUGCAAGUUUUAAUUUUUUUUGAACUUUUUUAGUAGUACCAACCAUUUAUUUCAUAGAAUAUUUGUGACAAAAAGUAGGCAGAUGCACCUGAGGAUUGACAGAAUUGCUAAUGCAAAUCUUCUGACUUUUAGAUCUUCCUGAAGAUUGAGAACAUUAAAAAAAUACAAGAUUCAGGUCACUAAGUAUGUCAUAGGUUAACAAAAUUGUGGUUACAUUAUAAACAAAAAGAUUAACUUAAUUACCCUCAUGAAACACAGACAGUUCAUAUCAUUACCCGAAGAAUGAAAAGAUCACGAGGGUAUUGUAUUUGUAAUAAAGAUA